GACGAACGCUGGCGGCGUGCUUAACACAUGCAAGUCGAACGGAAAGGCCCUGCUUGCAGGGUACUCGAGUGGCGAACGGGUGAGUAACACGUGGGUGAUCUGCCCUGCACUUCGGGAUAAGCCUUGGAAACUGGGUCUAAUACAGGAUAGGAGCCAUUUUUAGUGUGAUGGUUGGAAAGUUUUUUCGGUGUAGGAUGAGAUCGCGGCCUAUUAGCUUGUUGGUGGGGUAAUGGCCUACCAAGGCGGCGACGGGUAGCCGGCCUGGGAGGGUGGACGGCCACAUUGGGACUGGGAUACGGCCCAGACUCCUACGGGAGGCAGCAGGGGGGAAUAUUGGACAAUGGGCGCAAGCCUGAUGCAGCGACGCCGCGUGGGGGAUGACGGCCUUCGGGUUGUAAACUCCUUUCGCUAGGGACGAAGCUUUUUGUGACGGUACCUAGAUAAGAAGCACCGGCUAACUACGUG
rnacentral:rRNA from 1 species